rnacentral:snoRNA from 1 species
UUUUGCCUGUGAUGAGUUGCAAAAUCGAUUGCCUACAUUGUUUGAUUAACUGUGAGAAAAUCGUGCAACAUCUGAGGAUAA